UACGUAGGCAGCAAGCGUUGUUCGGAGUUACUGGGCGUAAAGAGUGCGUAGGUGGUGCCCUAAGUCUGUUGUGAAAUCUCCCGGCUUAACUGGGAGUGUGCGGUGGAAACUGGGGUGCUUGAGUGUGGGAGAGGUAAGCGGAAUUCCUGGUGUAGCGGUGAAAUGCGUAGAUAUCAGGAGGAACACCGGUGGUGUAGACGGCUUACUGGACCACGACUGACACUGAGGCACGAAAGCGUGGGUAGCAAACAGG
rnacentral:rRNA from 1 species